CUCCGGCAUGGUACGUCUUCUCAUGUCCUCUGGUAGUUAUGUGCACACCUGCUCCAUGCCCCCGGCUGCCAGGGGCUAUGUGGUUGAAGAGCGGUCUAAAAAGAAUUCUGAGCUCUGCACGUCAGGAAGCGUGCCUGUUUCCCGAGAUUGAGCUGUGGG